ACGGAUUAUACUAGAUUAUCUCUAAAUGUACAAAUGUUUACAUGUAGAUGUGAAGUGAAAUUACGUUAGUUGUAAAUGAAACUGAAUUUUUUUUUGGUAUACUGUACAGCCCUAUGAAAUAUGACCCUACUGUAGUUAUAUUUUAUGUUAAGAUAUAUAAAUCAUCUCAUGCACAUUCCAAACUUCUUACAAAGAACAUAUUGUGGAAAUAAGAGGCUUUAACUCGUCAAAGAAGAUUUAGAAAUUAUCUUUGUCAUGCAUCGACUGAAAUAGUUAUAUCUUCCAUGACUUCUUUUACAGGACAAGCGAUAUCUCCUGUUACCUUGGGUCUACGUCCUCAUCCUCAAUGUACUGUACGAGACAGGCUCCAUAGCACUCCUCACCACCGUCCACAUGGAGAGGGAAAAGGUAAGUCCCGAUACCCCACAGGAGAGAGAGAGAGAGAGAGAGAGAGAGAGAGAGAGAGAGAGAGAGAGAGAGAGAGAGAGAGAGAGAGAGAGAGAGAGAGAGAGAGAGAGAGAGAGAGAGAGAGAGAGAGAAUGUUAACAUUUGGUUUUCAUUAAGAUUGUUCAGGGUUUUAUUCAUGGAAUUAUGAUUUGAUCGAGUUUUCCAAAUGUGUAGCAUUACAAAUAAUCAUGCUUCAUUUUUUUUUGCAGACAUUGAAUGCCUGGGAAAUCGUAUGGAUGUUUUACUAUUGUUUUAAACUCAUAGCAAAUUGCUACUGUUUUGCCUGUGUGGUUUCGCAGUAUCAAGAGCUAUCAGAAGGAAGGGGCACCUAUGACUAUUUAUACAAACCCAGAAAUCGUCGUUCCAUGGGGCGAGCGCGGGAAUACGACAUUGACACAUUUGAGCUUCCAUUUGGUGUCCAUCUCCCACCUUAUUCUGAAUCGGACCCGUGUAAAGAGUUAAAUCCACCUCUAUAUGAAAACUUAUACCCGCAGCCAAAACUAGAAGACAGGAGGUCAAUAGACAUAAGACAAAUUGGACUAUGUCACAAUGUGCAAACAGUGAAUCAACAUUCAGAAAGAUACAAUUACAGUCAAAGAUAUUCCGGAGAUAUGCCAGACAGAUAUUCAAUUACGGUGGAUGUGGUUUGGAUAUGACAUCGUUCUUUUCUGCCAGUUGGUGUUCAUAUGUUAUAAGUGUCUCCUAAGACAUCGUUUUACCAUUACAAAACGGAAACGAUAGCAGCGCAUGCUCAUCAAAAGGCGCCGUUUCCUCCUCCUGAAAUACAGGUCUCGUUUUCGCUCCUGGAGGAAAAAGAUGUGUGUCGUUACGGAGAAAGUGAAAAUUCUCGAAAGUGCAGAAUUUUACCCAUGAUUCUAUUGUACAGGAAGCAGAAUGGUGCUCUGUUUUAAUGGAGAAUUGAUUUAUUUCACCCUCACGGAAUCUUUUUACCAUGCUGUUCACAAACUGAAUUUUUUACCUCAGGGAUGUAUUUUAUAUAUAUGUAUGUGUUGUAUAACAUUUCAAUGUGCCAAAGAGAGUAAAGGAUUAUGAAUCU
rnacentral:misc_RNA from 1 species